ACCAGACUCCUACGGGAGGCAGCAGUGGGGGAUAUUGCACAAUGGGGGGAACCCUGAUGCAGCGACGCCGCGUGGGUGAAGGAGUGCUUCGGCAUGUAAAGCCCUAUCGGCAGGGAAGAAGCAAGACGGUACCUGACUAAGAAGCCCCGGCUAACUACGUGCCAGCAGCCGCGGCAAUACGUAGGGGGCGAGCGUUAUCCGGAUUUACUGGGUGUAAAGGGAGCGUAGACGGCGAUGCAAGCCAGAUGUGAAAGCCCGGGGCUCAACCCCGGGACUGCAUUUGGAACUGUGUGGCUGGAGUGUCGGAGAGGCAGGCGGAAUUCCUAGUGUAGCGGUGAAAUGCGUAGAUAUUAGGAGGAACACCAGUGGCGAAGGCGGCCUGCUGGACGAUGACUGACGUUGAGGCUCGAAAGCGUGGGGAGCAAACAGGAUUAGAUACCCUCGUACA
rnacentral:rRNA from 1 species